CAAAUUGUCAACAAGUCUGGAACAACUUGUUAACAACUUGUAACAACCUUGUCGAUACUAUCACACUUGUUGCAAGGUUGUUCCAACAAGUCCGAUACACUCAUGAUAUAACAAUAUCGUUACAACCUUGUGUCGUCAACCUUGCCACAUUCUUGUUAUAUCAUGACUGUAUCAGACAUGUUAGAACCUUGUAACAAAUUUGACAAUGCCAUCAAGCUUGUUACAAGUUGUUACCAGCCUGUUCCAAACUUGUUACACCAACUGG
rnacentral:miRNA from 1 species